rnacentral:rRNA from 1 species
AUGAACGCUGGCGGCGUGCCUAAUCCAUGCAAGUCGAGCGAACAGAUAAGGAGCUUGCUCCUUUGACGUUAGCGGCGGACGGGUGAGUUACACGUGGAUAACCUACCUAUAAGACUGGGAUAACUUCGGGAAACCGGAGCUAAUACCGGAUAACAUAUUGAACCGCAUGGUUCAAUAGUGAAAGGCGGCUUUGCUGUCACUUAUAGAUGGAUCCGCGCCGUAUUAGCUAGUUGGUAAGGUAACGGCUUACCAAGGCAACGAUACGUAGCCGACCUGAGAGGGUGAUCGGCCACACUGGAACUGAGACACGGUCCAGACUCCUACGGGAGGCAGCAGUAGGGAAUCUUCCGCAAUGGGCGAAAGCCUGACGGAGCAACGCCGCGUGAGUGAUGAAGGUCUUCGGAUCGUAAAACUCUGUUAUCAGGGAAGAACAAAUGUGUAAGUAACUGUGCACAUCUUGACGGUACCUGAUCAGAAAGCCACGGCUAACUACGUG